rnacentral:rRNA from 1 species
UCGCAUCCUGGGGCUGGAGCAGGUCCCAAGGGUUUGGCUGUUCGCCAAUUAAAGCGGUACGUGAGCUGGGUUUAGAACGUCGUGAGACAGUUCGGUCCCUAUCUUUCGCGGGCGUAGGAUACUUGAGAGGAUCUUUCCCUAGUACGAGAGGACCGGGAUGGACGAACCUCUGGUGUACCAGUUGUCGCGCCAGCGGCACAGCUGGGUAGCUAUGUUCGGAAUGGAUAACCGCUGAAAGCAUCUAAGCGGGAAGCCAACCUCAAGAUUAGGUAUCCCUUUUCCGUGGCGACACGGAAACUGAAGACCCCUUGUAGAUUACAAGGUUGAUAGGCCGGGUGUGUAAGUGCGGCAACGCAUUUAGCUAACCGGUACUAAUCGGUCGUGAGGCUUGGCCAU